ACACUACUUGGGGCCCCUCUUCUUUCCAGCCCUUCUCCUGUGUGCCUGCCUCCUGCCGCCGCCACCAUGACCACCUCCAUCCGCCAGUUCACCUCCUCCAGCUCCAUCAAGGGCUCCUCUGGCCUGGGGGGCGGCUCGUCCCGCACCUCCUGCCAGCUGUCUGGCGGCCUGGGUGCCGGCUCCUGCAGGCCGGGAUCUGCUGGUGGCCUGGGCAGCGCCCUCGGGGGUAGCAGCUACUCCAGCUGCUACAGCUUUGGCUCUGGCGGUGGCUAUGGCAGCAGCAGCUUUGAGGGCGUUGAUGGGCUGCUGGUCGGAGGUGAGAAGGCCACCAUGCAGAACCUCAAUGACCGCCUGGCCUCCUACCUGGACAAGGUGCGUGCCCUGGAGGAGGCCGACACUGAGCUGGAGGUAAAGAUCCGUGACUGGUACCAGAGGCAGGCCCCGGGGCCCGCCCGUGACUACAGCCAGUACUACAGGAUAAUCGAGGAGCUGCAGAACAAGCCACCGUGGACAAUGCCAACAUCCUGCUACAGAAUGACAAUGCCCAUCUGGCUGCUGCUGACUUCCGCACCAAAGUCCUGGCAAAAUGAAGGCAGGUGAGCAGCCAGGACCUGGACCUGCAAUUCCAAGCAGCCUGGGCUGAAGUCCCUGAUUCCCAUGGCAGGUUUGAGACAGAGCAGGCCCUGUGCCUGAGUGUGGAGGCCGACAUCAAUGGCCCGUGCAGGGUGCUGGAUGAGCUGACCCUGGCCAGAGCCGACCCGGAGAUGCACAUUGAGAACCUCAAGGAGGAGCUGGCCUACCUGAAGAAGAACCACGAGGAGAUGAACGCCCCGCGAGGCCAGGUGGGCGGUGAGAUCAAUGUGGAGAUGGGCGCUGCCCCAGGUGUGGACCUGAGCCGCAUCCUGAACGAGAUGCGUGAGCAGUAUGAGAAGAUGGCAGAGAAGAACCGCAAGGAUGCCGAGGAUUGGUUCUUCAGCAAGACAGAGGAGCUGAACCGCGAGGUGGCUACCAACAGUGAGCUGGUCCAGAGCGGCAAGAGCGAGAUUUCGGAGCUCCGGUGCACCAUGCAGGCCUUGGAGAUCGAGCUGCAGUCCCAGCUCAGCAUGAAAGCAUCCCUGGAGGGCAACCUGGCGGAGACAGAGAACCGCUACUGCAUGCAGCUGUCCCAGAUCCA
ensembl:lncRNA novel transcript